AAUCUAAAGUGCCUGGGAUGAUAGUACCUGCCUGUAAUCCCAGUACUUGGGAGGCUGAGGCAGGAGGAU
rnacentral:miRNA from 1 species